rnacentral:rRNA from 1 species
AGUGAACGCUGGCGGUAGGCCUAACACAUGCAAGUCGAACGGCAGCACAGGAGAGCUUGCUCUCUGGGUGGCGAGUGGCGGACGGGUGAGGAAUACAUCGGAAUCUGCCCAGUCGUGGGGGAUAACGUAGGGAAACUUACGCUAAUACCGCAUACGACCUUCGGGUGAAAGAGGGGGAUCGCAAGACCUCUCGCGAUUGGAUGAGCCGAUGUCGGAUUAGCUAGUUGGCGGGGUAAUGGCCCACCAAGGCGACGAUCCGUAGCUGGUCUGAGAUGAUGAUCAGCCACACUGGAACUGAGACACGGUCCAGACUCCUACGGGAGGCAGCAGUGGGGAAUAUUGGACAAUGGGCGCAAGCCUGAUCCAGCCAUACCGCGUGGGUGAAGAAGGCCUUCGGGUUGUAAAGCCCUUUUGUUGGGAAAGAAAUCUUUCAGGCUAAUACCCUGGGAGGAUGACGGUACCCAAAGAAUAAGCACCGGCUAACUUCGUG